rnacentral:rRNA from 1 species
GACGAACGCUGGCGGCGUGCUUAACACAUGCAAGUCGAACGGAAAGGCCCUGCUUUUGUGGGGUGCUCGAGUGGCGAACGGGUGAGUAACACGUGAGUAACCUGCCCUUGACUUCGGGAUAACUUCAGGAAACUGGGGCUAAUACCGGAUAGGAGCUCCUGCUGCAUGGUGGGGGUUGGAAAGUUUCGGCGGUUGGGGAUGGACUCGCGGCUUAUCAGCUUGUUGGUGGGGUAGUGGCUUACCAAGGCUUUGACGGGUAGCCGGCCUGAGAGGGUGACCGGCCACAUUGGGACUGAGAUACGGCCCAGACUCCUACGGGAGGCAGCAGUGGGGAAUAUUGCACAAUGGGCGGAAGCCUGAUGCAGCAACGCCGCGUGCGGGAUGACGGCCUUCGGGUUGUAAACCGCUUUCGCCUGUAACGAAGCGUGAGUGACGGUAAUGGGUAAAGAAGCACCGGCUAACUACGUG